CAAACACAACGAAGAAUUCGUUAGUCUGAACUUUUAUACAAAUUAAAAGCAAUUCGAUUAUCCUUUCUCCCUCCAAAUCGAUUUCCAUCCCUGGUGAACCCUAAUCGAGCAAUUGCUCAGCUGUCGGCCGCAGUUCCGCCAGCGAUGGCCGGCCAUCGUGGUCCGGAGUAUAAUCCUAGGCUCAGCCCUGUGUUUUUUUAGUAUUCCACUGUGUGGCCUCCGUUCGGUCUCUCCCUAGGUGUAGAGUAGGUGUAGAGUGAUUCACGUCUUGGCUGCUUGUAUAUGCAGCGUUUGUUUUCCGUCUGACCAUCGUUGGCCGGCGCCGGAGCCGGCGUAUUGUGCGCAAGUUUUCUGCUUUCCCUUUCUCCUGCAUUGUGGAAGGCAAGGAUGGGAGCUCAGCAGAACGACAAUGGUGGCAAUAGGGAUGAAGAGGUAAAAGAUGGGACUGUUUGGAGAGGUUUGGUUUUUGCAGUUACUCACCAUAUACCGGUUGUUCAUGGAUGCUGGAUUUGAUGUAAAUGAGCUUUUACUGAUUGUGUGGUUUUGAGUGCUAAGUACAGGCAAGCCGUCGAAUUGUGCCGAAUUCUUGGUUUAGAGGAUAAGGUUUCUGGUGAGUUUGAAGCUCUUUGUUUUGUUAUAACUGAGUUUAUAUGCUAUAGUGUUAUUGCAUUUUAGUAGAUUUCGUAGGUUGUAUUGUAGUUAGCUUGUUAUUAUCAGCCAAUUGCAAUGUGGUAGGGAAGUUCAUUUUGUGUUUCUUACUUUAUUGAUCGAUCUAUCUCGAUAUGUUUGGCACUUAUUAUGAUGCACUUUUAUAUGCAUCUCUGCUGAAAGUUGGGUAUGAGCAACUGUAUAUGUUGUUUCAAACAGAUAUUAUAUACGAAAGCUUAUUAGUAAGCACCAACAACUUAUAUCUCUCAAAUUUAUUUUUGAGUUCGGACUAACUGAUGAGUACCCCCUGGUGCCUUUACCGAAAGCCUUCGUGAUGGAAUCGUGUAAAAGUGUUCAUGCAGUUCAUAAGGUUGGAGAGAGUUCUAGCCAAUCAUUGGUACUAUUUUGUAUGUUCAUUAUUUUGCAGACCUCACAUCCUUUGAUAUUCAUGAAUUUUUUUAUACUUAACAUUAAAAUUGUGGUGCUUUAUCCUUUUGAAUGUGUUCAUGCCAUUUGAGUGCUCCUUGGAUAGGGAAAGUAGGAUAAUGUAUUCUUAAUUUCACGGAAAAUAAACACGAAGUUAGUGAAAUAUUUUUAGUUAAUUUUGUUUAAUAUAACAAGAAGACACUACUUUCCAGUACAAUAAUUAGACACACUUAUCUUAGGCUCAAAUUUCUUUGUUUUAGAUUUUCAAUAAUUCUCUUCAUAUUCUAGUAAUGAGUUGGCAUAACCUUUAUAAAUGAGCCUCUGACUUUAGAUUAGUCUCAGUUCGAAUACUUUUUUGACACUUGCCAGCUCAAUGCAUUCAUCGUCUACAUUGAGUUAUUGCAUAAUCUCUUGAUUAUGAUAUCAUCUUGAGAAACUCUUAUGGUACAGCCAACCACAUAUUUCAAUUACUUUAGGUAAAUUAUAUAGAUGAUAAUCAAUUCUUUUACUUCAAGGGCUUUUGGAAAUGUUUGAAUUUAUUAAAAUAUUGUUAAAAUCAUGGCUAAAAAAAUACUAGAGACUCACUUUGCUUAUGUUUACCUAUAGAAUGCACAAUUAACAGAAAUAAAAUUCAGGAUGGUUCUUUUUUAACACAAGGGUUAUUAUUCAUUGAAAUUGUUGCCGAAUAUUUCGAUAUGUUAUUUUCUCUGAAUUUUUGUGCAUUCUAAAAGGUAUAUACAGUAAGUAUUUAUUUACGCAUAUUGAAUAAAAACAAACCUGUAUUGAAUGGUUUCUUUGCUCCUUUUAAGACAUUUCAUUUUCUUAAGGAUGUAUUCUCUUGCAUGUCAUCUUUUAGACACAAACACGGAUACUACGGGACUAUACUAUAUCAAUAAUACAUUGUUAUACUUUUUUUGUAAGACCGAUAUCUUGAAAUUAUAGAAGUUAUAUUAAAAGCAUUUAUUUUGUACUAAAAUCAAGGACACAAAGAUUCAAGUUUAUAAAAAUUUGGUAACACACCAUGUUAGAGUUCUUCCUCACAUAUAUCCCUAAUAUUUAUCAUAUUGUCACUCAAUGUGUUUUUUUUAUAGAAUUAGGCUAUAUAUGAGUUAAACCAUCUGACAAUCUAUUGUAUAUAUAUUAUUUUUCUACACAUGAAAACUAAGAGCAGCAUGAAUCAGAUGUCCAGUGCCACUACUGUUGAGGCUGCACGUUUUGGUCAUGGAAUUUAUAGGCAAGUCAGGUUGGGAUGCUUCUAGACUCAAAGAUGCUAGCUUAUCCCUGUAUAAGUUGCGCGAAUGUUAUGCAGAGUGCAAGCUAGUGCAUGGCUACCUCAGGUCACCUUUACAUAAUUGUUGUUUCACAAGCAGUUGAUCUUGACCAUUCUCAGAUUCAACAAAUGAUUUUGACAAGAGGUGAUGUAAUCUUUGUUGAGGAAGAAAUCGAGGACCUGGGUUUGUGCAAAAGACCUUGGAUGAUGUGAGGAAUGCUGAGGAGGAUGUGCAACAUAUCAUCAGUGAAGAUGACACUAAUGACAUGUACUAUCAAACGGUAAUAGGCCUUAAGAAGGUUCUUUCUUUGAGCAAUCCAUCCGAGGCACAGGAGCAGGAGCAGCAACAGUAGCUGGAAUGUAACAAAAAGGUUGCGAAAGAUGAGCUCACAAACUCUCAUGGCUUAGUUGAGGAAGAAUUUGAAACAACUAGUAAUGAAAGUAAUCAAGAUACUAAUGACUCCGAUUGCGAUUCAUCUGCUGAAAAUGUUAAGUAGACAGCAACGGACAGGAAAGCAGCCAGGAAAGUGAACAAGAAGAAAAAGAAAGGCUCGGAAGAAUAAAGUUCCGAAAGCUAUAAAUACUAAGAAAAAGAAGCUAGCUAAAGCCAAGGAGUACCGGAGAGAAAAGCUACAUCCUAACACCUGUAACAUAGAAAGAAAUUCUAUGUUUUUCUAGCUUGCAAGAAUAUGUUUUUUGUUAUUGCACGCUUCAAAUCUAGGAUAAAAGUACUACAUCCUUCUAACAAGCUUAUGUGACUUAAUUAUUAGAGAAUGCAGACAAUUCUAAUGUUUCAAUACCAAUAGAAAAUUCUAUUUUUCUCUCA